rnacentral:rRNA from 1 species
GACGAACGCUGGCGGCGUGCUUAACACAUGCAAGUCGAACGGAGUGGCGAACGGGUGAGUAACACGUGGGUGACCUGCCCUGCACUUCGGGAUAAGCCUGGGAAACUGGGUCUAAUACCGGAUAGUGUGGGAUGGGCCCGCGGCCUAUCAGCGUGUUGGUGGGGUAAUGUCCUACCAAGGCGGCGACGGGUAGCCGGCCUGAGAGGGUGGACGGCCACAUUGGGACUGAGGGACGGCCCGAACUCGUACGGGAGGCAGCAGUGAGGAAUAAUGCACAAUGGGCGGAAGCCUGAUGCAGAGACGCCGCGUGGGGGAUGACGGGCUUCGGGUUGGAAACUCCUUUCACCAUCGACGCGGUAGAUGGAGAAGAAGAACCGGCUAACUACGUGCCAGAAGCCGAGGUAAUAC